ensembl:snoRNA U8 U8 small nucleolar RNA
UCAUCAGAUGGGAUAAUUUUUACCUGUUCCUCCUUUUGGAGGUUAGAUUCUAAUACGAUGAUUGGAGUUCGUAUGGUACGUGAUUAAUGUCUGCAUAAUCAGGACUUGUAACACCUUGAUUGCUUCUGAG